CAGUGGCGCACGGGUGAGUAACACGUGAAUUACAUGCCCUUCAGAGGGGGAUAGCCCAGGGAAACUUGGAUUAAUACCCCAUGGUAUCGCAAGAUUAAAGGUGGCCGCAAGGCUGUCGCCGAAGGAUUGGUUCGCGCCCUAUCAGCUUGUUGGCGGGGUAACGGCCCACCAAGGCUACGACGGGUACCUGGUUUGAGAGGACGAUCAGGCACACUGGAACUGAGACACGGUCCAG
rnacentral:rRNA from 1 species